rnacentral:rRNA from 1 species
GACGAACGCUGGCGGCGUGCUUAACACAUGCCAGUCGAACGCUGAAGCUUGGUGCUUGCACUGGGUGGAUGAGUGGCGAACGGGUGAGUAAUACGUGAGUAACCUGCCCUUGACUCUGGGAUAAGCCUGGGAAACUGGGUCUAAUACUGGAUACGACAUGUCACCGCAUGGUGGUGUGUGGAAAGGGUUUUACUGGUUUUGGAUGGGCUCACGGCCUAUCAGCUUGUUGGUGGGGUAAUGGCUCACCAAGGCGACGACGGGUAGCCGGCCUGAGAGGGUGACCGGCCACACUGGGACUGAGACACGGCCCAGACUCCUACGGGAGGCAGCAGUGGGGAAUAUUGCACAAUGGGCGGAAGCCUGAUGCAGCGACGCCGCGUGAGGGAUGACGGCCUUCGGGUUGUAAACCUCUUUCAGCACGGAAGAAGCGAAAGUGACGGUACGUGUAGAAGAAGCGCCGGCUAACUACGUG